GAUGAACGCUGGCGGCGUGCCUAACACAUGCAAGUCGUGGGGCAGCAUGAAGGAAGCUUGCUUCCUUUGAUGGCGACCGGCGCACGGGUGAGUAACGCGUAUCCAACCUGCCUGCAAGUAGGGAAUAGCCCGGAGAAAUUCGGAUUAAUGCCCUAUGUGGCCCUUUGAUGACAUCUGAAGAGGGUUAAAGAUUUAUUGCUUGCGGAUGGGGAUGCGUCCGAUUAGGCAGACGGCGGGGUAACGGCCCACCGUGCCAUCGAUCGGUAGGGGUUCUGAGAGGAAGGUCCCCCACACUGGUACUGAGACACGGACCAGACUCC
rnacentral:rRNA from 1 species